AAACCUUGAUGAUGAAUUGCAUGUGAGUCCGUGUUUCAGCUGAACCUCAUGAUUAUUCUUUCACUGCACUGAUGGGUUU
rnacentral:snoRNA from 1 species